rnacentral:rRNA from 1 species
UGCCAGCAGCCGCGGUAAGACGGAGGGUCCUAGCGUUGUUCGGAAUAACUGGGCGUAAAGAGUACGUAGGCUGUUUUGUAAGUUAGAUGUGAAAUCCCAAAGCUUAACUUUGGAACUGCAUUUAAUACUGCAAUACUUGAGUUCGAAAGAGGAAAGUGGAAUUCCUAGUGUAGAGGUGAAAUUCGUAGAUAUUAGGAGGAACACCAGAGGCGAAGGCGACUUUCUGGUUCGAUACUGACGCUGAGGUACGAAAGCGUGGGGAGCAAACAGGAUUAGAUA